UACGUAGGGUGCAAGCGUUGUUCGGAAUUACUGGGCGUAAAGCGCGCGUAGGCGGAUUGGAAAGUCGAUUGUGAAAUCCCUGGGCUCAACCUGGGAAUUGCAGUCGAAACUCCCAAUCUUGAGUGCCUGAGAGGAUGGCGGAAUUCCCGGUGUAGUAGUGAAAUACGUAGAUAUCGGGAAGAACACCUGAGGCGAAGGCGGCUAUCUGGCGGUGCACUGACGCUGAGGCGCGAAAGCGUGGGGAGCAAACAGG
rnacentral:rRNA from 2 species